AUGGAAAGAAAAACGCGGUAGCGCCGCGCUCUGCCGCCUCCGCCUGGCGGCCCGGCUGCAGCCCCGGGGCUGCUCUUCGCAGAGGCGGCUGUGGAGCAGUGCUGCUCAGCGCGGCCCUGCGGGUUUGUAGCUGCCGCUCUAAUGUUUCCCAUUACGGCCUGCUUUUAGGGCAGGAGGUCUCGUUUGGCUAAAAGAAGGGCAAUGGACGAGCGUAAGGACGCGGGGAACCCGGCGUCCCAGUUAUCAGCGUCCCAGCAAAGCAAGGAGUUGGGGGAAUGGUGUUAUUCCCUGCGUGCUGCCUGGCAGCGCCCUCAGACCCUAAGGGUUGGCAUGGGCAGCUGUGUGAAAGUUAACAGAAGAGUGGGAAGUGUUGUGUUUGCUGACAGGACUUCAAUCUUGGCAGGAGGAGUGAUUAAGGAGUCAGUAGGUUGGAAAAGACCUGUAUGAUCACCUGGUCCAACCACCACCCCCGCCGUGCCCACUAACCACGUCCCUCAGUGCCACAUCUCAGUCCUUGAACACCUCCAGGGGCAGUGACUCCCCCACCUCCCCGGGCAGUCUGUGCCACUGAAUCACCACUCUUCUGGAAAGGGAUUUUUCAUACUAUCCAGCCUGGGUCUUGGGAUGCAGCAUUGCCUGCAGUCAGGCUGCUGUCCCAUCAGCUGCUGGAAAGCAGAUUGGGUUUCUUGUCAGACAGCUGAAAAGACAAACUAAACCAAUUCGUGUAUCCUGUUGGAGCAUAAAAUGAAAUUUAUAGGUUUCCUGGAUUUUUUAAUAAAAUUUAAAAUACUUUUGCGAUUGUUGAUUUAUUGGAUAGUUAAAAGAGUUGCUUAUGUUUUUAAUGAUCCGUAAAUUACCCAUUGCAUUUUUAAUGUAGUUGGUUUUUAUCUGUUUUAUUUUUUUCAUAACUUGAUUCUAUUAUAAGUUACUGGAAUGAGCACAAAUAAUCAUCACAAUCAAAACAACAAAAACAGCUUUAAAUACUUGUAAUCAGACCAUUAACACAUGAACAGGAGCAAAACAAAUGACUGUACAGUUAUGCUGUAAACUUUGGUCUUCCUAAGCGUUCUUUGUACCACUGUUUCAUGCUGUACCUUGUUCCAUUUCUUGUGCAGUGCUGCAGUGUGUCCAACUUGCUCAGUUGUUUGUAGUUUUUUCCAAGGUAUUUUGUGGGAAAAUGGAAGGGAUGCUGGCAUUUCACAGUGUCUGAUGUCAGCAAAAGGGCCAGCAUGAUGUCCAAGGACACGCCAGCUCUGGAGGAUUUUGAGUCUCUGCUGCAACUUGACAAGGACCUGUAGCCUGGUGUCCACCUGGAAGUGUGGGAACACAGCAAGAAAUCUUCAGCCAGAAGUAUUGUAGUGCUGGCUUAACAUUUGACUCAGUAGGCUUUCACAGAUGCAGCCUCUAGUUUUCCAGCGUGGCCGAUUGUAUUUCAUCUCAGAGCGCUCCGGCCCGGGAAGCAGCCGCAAUCCUGGCUGCUGCCCAGCUGGCCUCUGCCCUAGUUCCUCUCCCACUACAGCAGGCUAUGGGAUCUCUCCUUUUCAGGGCUAAACCGUGCCGCCCACUUUUGAUCAUUAAAGGAAAUGAAGCUGAAAUCACAUCUGAAGAAGUAAACAAGACUCACGUAUGAAGGCACUGAAAUGGCAAAGCAAGCAAUCUCAAAGGCGAGUGCACACAGCACGGGCUGCCACUCGUUCCCCUGGUUCAGCAGUGUUCUACAAGCACUUGGCAGAGCUAUAAAUGAUGGCACGAGGUGCUAGGCGGUGAAGAAUAAAAUCCCGAGUAUUUGGCUUUCAAGGAAAUUUACAAAAGCCACCAUCUCAACAGCCAAGAUUUACAUGUGUCUUCCAAGAAAGAAUUACUUUUCUAUGGGAAAGCAAUCGUCCCCUGCAUUGCUGAGCUAAUGAUGUAUAAAAUAACUCUGACACGCCAGAGUCCCACGGUGGCACCAGCCAACAGCAAAGAGAAAAGGGAUUCCAAACAAGCUGUUGGUGACCAGAAAACAACUUGAAGCAGAUCGUUAGCAAUAAAUCUUAAUAUGACAUUGGAGCCGAGCUCAUCUUACAAAGAGCAAAGAGUAGACGGAGAAAAGCAGAUGGCAGAGCCUUUCCCAGUGGUAUAAACAGAGAUGAGUGCGUAUCGUUUCUGAGUACUGUAGAAGUCCCUGCCCAUCUCAGUUGUGUAAAUAACCAGAAAGAACAUUAAUACAUUUCUAAGGACUGAGUUUUAAUUGUUCUGUGUUUUAUAACCAUUGCUUGCGUCUCGUUCUAUUUACCAUGGCAAUAGUUCCAAAUAUUCCACGUUAUGGAAAUGAUGACGUUCAGCUGGAAAUGUUUUACCUGCCAAGUCCUGAACUUCAUACUAGCGGUUAUCCGGCAGUAGCUGGCGGCAGAACAAUCCUACUGCAGCAUAACUGGGGGUUACAUCCUUUACAUGGUUACAUUUAAUCACUUCUGAUGCCUAUCUAAGUUGUAGCCAAGUACAAGGAAAUACAGAUUCUACACUCAAAUUUUUGGAAGUAUGAAAAUAAGAGCAAUAGCAAUAAGAAUAAAGCAUAAUUAUCACAACUGCCUGUCCAAGGAACCCGAGAUUUGUUGUAUAUUAUGAGUGGAUCAUCCUUUGUUCAAGUCUUUUCUGCAAAAGUUGUUGUGUGUAAAUGCCAUGCAAACCAUGAAAUCUGCCUCGGUACCGAAGCACUGGAAGAACUGUGGACCUGAUCAUGCCGAACAUACCAUCACAUGCAUAAAAUUAAGAAGCUAAAAACUCGAGUGCUUAUUAUUUCUGUGAUGCAUGUUAAUUACAAUUCUUUAAGGGCUAUCUGUAGCAACAGGAUCAAAAAAAAAUCAGAUAAUAAAAGAACUUACAAAAAAAUCCAUGUCCGUACCGUUACACACGACUAAAACUUUCAUUUUUCUAUGCUAUUUAUGGGUAUAUUUGUGUGGAAACCUUUUAAAAAUGUCCUUUACAACUUCUUGAGAUUUACUUACACCAUUUCAUAGUUCUGCAGAACAAAGCUGACGUCUCCAGAUGGCAAAUAUAAACACCCAAAGAUGGACUGCCACUCAAAGACACGUGGGGAAUAUUUGCCAAAGCUAAAUACAGCACUAAAAGAAUUUCAAUAGUGGAGUAGAAGUUCUUCUGAAAACACCAUUAAUACUGGCACAAUAGACCUAACUGAUGCGGUGGAGGCGGUGAGCUGCACUCAAAAUCUUUGCUACCCACAAAAAGGCACUUAUUUCUGGAUUGUUAUAUAGUGAGGAAAUCAUACAGUAAAUCAAAGUGACGUAUUAUUCAGACCCUGCUAUAAAGUGCAGCACAUAUUAAGUGGCAUACAAGAAACAUGCACAUGUGCAUGGCUGGGGAAGUGUGCAUGGGAUUCAACCAUUUUGAUGAAUAAAUAUUUGAGACUUUUACAGUUCCUCAGUAUCUUCUUUUAUGUGAUCAAAUAACUGCAACUACAAAUUUUACUUGAGGACUGACAUUUUUGUAUUACAACAGUUUCUUUGUUGCUCCAAACAGCAACGCAUAUACUACAAAUCAGUUCAGAAAGAAGAUGCUUUCCAUUGUACUCAUCCUUAUUAUCAAAAAGAGAAACUAUGUGCACAAAGUUUUUCAUAGCUUUUUUACCAGCAGCAUUAGUCUCCUUCAGACAUUGGCCAGGGUGGGUGGAGACCUGCCAUAAUGCGCUACACAUUCUGUCUGAGCUGUAACAACAGAAGGCAUUCCUUGUGAGCUGUGUGAUUCCAAACGUCUAAGGACGGGAGAAGGAGUUCACUCAAUAUAGUGAAUAAGUCCUUUCAACUUUGCCACAUUCUCCAAACAAAAAUUGCUUUAUGAAUACGCUGUUUGACAAAUAUCCUCAUCUGGAGAGGUUCAAAAGGUUCAAAAACCUCACUCCCACCAACCUCAACAGAGGUAGAUCUUUUUGGUGAUCAGCCCUUGUUUCAGACACCAGUUCUGUAAGUUGUAUGGUUGCAUCAGACACUCGUGGCUUUCAGAGGCUUGUCUACACACAAACCCCCUGAGAAAUACUGAGAUUGCCUGGGAAGACCACACCUUCAGGUACUUUGGUCCAAGUCUACACGUACACCCUCCUAGGGGCUUUCUUUCCCAGCAUAACUCUGUACACUGUAUAUUGUCAACAAGAAAGAAAUGGGAUUUCUGUUUAUUCCUAAAUCAUGAUUAAAACAUUGUAUUUUGAAAGGGUGUAAUGUGAACUAAUGCGUCUGCAUUGACUAGAUCUUCAUGGCUGAAUGCUGGAAAGGAGAUCUGCGGCAACAGUAAGACCCAAUAACUGUUCCACAGUGCUACUAGAGUUCUCUCUGCCGUGCCUGUCUAUGCUACAGAACUGAAAGAUGUACAGCUAUGGUGUCAUACACAAGCCUCAAAUAGCUGUAACGAGGCUUUGCUGUGAUAGCUGCAUAACAAUUUCAUUCCCCAGCAGAAUAUUUUCUAUGAAGAAAACUCAGCCUACAAUUGCAGCUGCCACACAGAGCAUUUUUUGAAGUCAAAAAGCACAGAGUAACUUCAGGUGUGGAUGGGGUCUGGAAUAUGAUCCAUGGAGAUGCCUCCAGCAUGCCUCAUGACACUCUGGCUUUGGCAACUAUUUGGGUGAAGAAGUUCUGCCCUCUGGUCUCCAGCUACUCACUACUCUAUUCUGUAGAGUAGAGCACUACAACUCUUUUGUAGAGCUCACCAACUUUAUUUUGUGUGAAAAGAUACAUACAGUGGUCCACUGCCCAAUCCAAGAAAAGCUGUCCUCAGUUUAAUAUUCUACCUACUUUGAUAGCAGAGGCAUCAACAAUCACAGCACGAAGAGUUCAGCAGCUGAAUUAUAGCAGCAGUAAUAAUGAGAGCACAAGUGGGAAUCCCAGGAAAACCUUAAUCAUUAUCAUUAACAUUUUAUUUUCUGCACUGCUAUCCCUGCUCCAAUGUACCACAAUUUGCUGUACCAGGCUAUUCAAUGCCCGAUGUCAGUAAGAAUCUGCAUAAAUAUAAGGAGCAGGAUAGCUGUGAUGAAAAAGUCAUCAAAAGCUGGAACUGCCAUGGGACCUUUUGAUAUUUUAAAAUUAUUUUUGUUCUGCCGUGUUGUACAGUUUUAGAUCAGGUAUGGUUUUGAGGUACAAGGGAUGUUGUUACAAGGACAUAGACAGAUUAUGCCUAGACUCCCUUGUACCUAACUCAUUUAUAUAUAUGCAUCCUUGCAAACCAUGCUGCAACUCCUGGUUUCAUCACUGGUUUGCCCAGCUUACUCUCUUAGUCAACUCAGCGUUAAAUGGAAGUAGCAAAACCCACCAGGUUGCAACAACAAUGAAUUUUGGCAAAUGCUGUGGAGAGUUUUCUCUCUAAGCUUGACAUUCAGAAAGAGAAACAAACUUAAAAUAGGAACCAUUUACAAUGGAUCAUCAUGUGGAUAAAUGUACUAAAAGCCCAACAGAGGGAACUUCUGAAAUGCAUGAGCUCCAAACACCAGAGAUAUAUAGCUAGAAAUAUCUUCCUCGCUGAAGAUGAUGAUCUACUGUGUAUUUCUAAGGAAAACUAUAAUGAAAGUAAAUAAUAUUAAGUGUUUUAUAAAGCGGUUCAUUAACUGAAAAAGGAUGUUUCUUCCUUGAACAAAUUGUCUUAGAAAUGUUCCUUCGGGGUCCUGCCUUCAUUUUUAAAACAGAAUUGUGCCAGCAGACCUACUUUAUAUAGUUUUACAUCAAUUUUGCAAUCAGGUUUUCUGUUUACAAGCUCUCUGGGCUUAACUUCACUGUAAAGUUAACAUGAGUUAGAAUUUAUUCUGGUUAUAAUCAGAAUCCUUUCUACAUCCGAAAAAAAGAAAAAUAAGCCUGAGUCUGCAGUUGCUUUUCAUUUGAGGCAGUGAGGCUAACAGGAAGAUACAGGCUGGUAUGACAGUGAGCCUAACUCAUCAGCUACUCUGCAUUGUGAGCACAGGUUUGCACUAUUUGAAUGCUGCUGAUCUUCCUAUGCCUUCCCACUCCUCUUUCCUUAUUCCUGACAAGAUCCCACUCAUCCUUCCUUAUUCCUGGCAGGAUCCUGCUAAGACCUGGGCCAAAAGUAAUGGCUCAGUCACUGACAGGGCUGACCAGAGCCAUAAGCAGUUUCAGAAACCACAGCCUAUGGUUUCACGGUGUAAAGUUUUCACGGUAAAAGCAGCUUUACUUAGCCCUGUCCCAUCAUCCUUCCUCAGCUCUGCCCUUCUCAACCAUAGCACUGCUCAUUUAUGCUGACCCAUCAUUAUCUAAAAGUCCAGAAAUGAAGUGUUUUUAAGAAAGAUCCCUGGCUCACCACAUGGAUCAGCAUCAUUUUGCCAGCACAACAGUAAGGGCUUCAAUGUGAGCACUGAAGCAGGUCUGAAACCCUACAGCAGUAUUGGUACUAAGAACUUCUCAUUCAGAAGCUCAGCACCAGGCACAAGUGAAAGUACAAAGACAUGCUCCUUAGGGAGCCUGAGGCUCCAGGUGUCCCUUUAUAUCUUAAAAACUGUCUUGAAAGUGCUCCCACAGGAGCAACAGAUUACUUGUAAAUGCCAACACACGUCAUUAGUGCUCAAUAGGUAACGAUAAACUCUGUCUCUUCAGGUUUCCAAGAAAAGAGUAGAUGUUGCACGGACUGAUGUGCUUUGUAGUGUGGUGGUGAUGGGCUGAUGAUUAGACCAGGUGGUCUUAGUGGUCUUUUUCAACCUUAAUGAUUCUAUGAUUCUAUGAGAGAAGCUUGAGAACAAUUGGCUGUAAUUUUCCUAACAGAAAGCAUCUGAAGCCCCAUGACUUGAACUUCUGAAAUAUAGUCCCGUCUCUCAGCAAAAAGGACAGAACCAGAGAAUCAAAAUGUCCAGUAGCCACUGUUCUCACAUUGUACAAGUUGCUGAUGGAAAGAGGAAACAGGGAAAUGCAAAGACAUUGCUGCUGUUUUCUGUAAAAUAUUGAAAGAAUUUCUCAUAACUGAAAGGAAUUUUUCUUUGCUGCUCUUAUACUUGAUGCUAGCAAGAGGGAAGAGCAGCAGUUAUUCCAACAUGCCCAACCUGCACCUCUGUAGCUCCACAACGGCUACGAGUUUACAUUUGCCGUAGAGGAAAGUGAAAGCCAUGGCCAACUUUGGUGCCCUUGGCUGUGAACUAUGACUGUUCAGCAGGACUCUGAAAAAAGGAAAUGUGAUCGAGGCAAGAAUGUUUCCAUGUGUCUUACCUUGAGCCAGAGCUUUUUUUCCCUAAAGUCUUGAGCACUGUACAUCAGAAGAAGCUAAGUGACGUGACCUGUGAUACUUACUCUAAAUUAUGCAUGUUUAACAGCACCCAAGGACUAUCCAAUCUAUUACAUUGGACACUGAACACUGAAAGGUUUGCAACCUAAAGGGCUGUUUUUCAUUAUCCACUGAGGGUGAAUUUAGCUCUAAACAAAAUAUACAGGAAAACACAGUUGCUAAUGCAGUGGAAAUUAUUACUGGGUAAUAAUUUAUGGAUCUUGUUUGUUGACUUUGCUAUUGGGAAAUUCACUGUCUAAAUAUAUUGGCUUGAUUUAAUAAGGGAAAAUCAGGCUGACCUAAUAGGUGACUGUAAGAAAAAACAUGCAGCCAGGAUUAA